ensembl:lncRNA
UUUUGCUGCUUCACUUGUUACCUCCAACAUCUAAGGAGGGAAGUCUUCAAAGAUUAGCACAUCAGAUGCUGCUCACCACCUAAUGAAAUUCAUCAAGGUGGGAGGUAGCACGGAGGCUUUUCUUAAGGCUGGCCCCACUCAGCCAUUCGUCCUGUGUGUUGGAGAAAGAAAGAACAUCAUCCAGAGUUUCUACAUUGUCCUAGAUCAAAAGGUCAUUCCCUGUGUGACACAGAUGGGAGUUGCAGGUUUUGACAAGGCAAAACUUUUCAAGGCACAUUUUUUAUUUGCCGUGUCCUUUGACAAGGCAUUGAACAACUUCUACACAUUCAUCCAGACCACCGUGUAUGGCAUUGAUGUUGGCAGUGUGAAGGAGAGUCCUCGGGUCAGGGAAACAAGAGGAAGUCUUCAUUGUACAGUUUAAAGAUAUCCACUAUUCAGCACUUUGACUGGAAAUGUUCAUCUGUUACAUUUGCAAGAUACACCACACAAGUUGCUCAGUGUUAUUUAGACAUUUGAAGUUCCAGCAUGGUUUGUACCCAGGAAGGUUUUUACGUUUGACCUGUGGAGAGCCUGGAUGUUCAUUCAUCUUUCGCACGUACUCUGAUUACAAGCGGCACUUACUCCGAGCACAUGGAGACUGUCUUCACUCUGAGGUCAUCAAUACUUUUGAGCCUGUACCUAACGAUGGAACCUCUGUUUCACAGCCUGUAAAUGUGGCUCAUCCCAUGACAAUUACUACACAGGUUCCAGUUGAAAAAAGGCAAAUACUGAACAUGUGCAGCUCUGUUAUUGCUCAGGUACAAUCAUUAGGAGUUCCUGAAAGUACUGUGCAGUGUUUAGUUGUUUCAUUGGAGGAACUGGUUAAUGACAUCCAUGCGCAUGCAAAACAAUCUGUUGUUGACUGUUUGUCAACUGAUACCAUGAUACAGACAUCAAGUUGGGAUGUAUGUUUGUUCUGGUGUUGAAAAUGAGAUGCCUUUGUUCAGUAAGAUUGUCAAUAUAAUUAUUAGAUUGCAAUGCUUAUCUUCUAACUUGUAAGGCUUCAACAGUAUAUUUCAAUGAGCACUUAAAUGCAUUUGUUAUUGAGGAUGGAUUAGAUGUCUUUGCACUGAUCUCUGUAGAUGAUCUAGUGUACUAUAGACCUUAUGAUAGGCAAUUUUCAAAUGGCACUGAUGACAAAAUGUACAUUGUCCCAUACUGUAAUUUUGUAUAACUUGUUUAUUUGUGGUGUAUCAGAAUACAAAGUGUUUUGGAACGUUAAUGUCUUGUAUUUCUUUGUAAUGGGUAGAUGUUAGGGGUUACUUGUAGCAGUAGAGAUAUCAGAUUAAUGGGAGUUUAUUGUAAUCUGGUAGUAUUAAUGAUUUGACUGACACUAGUGUUAGUGUUAGAAAAUUAACACUAUUCAGUGUUGAAUUUUUAAACACCAGGGCUAGUGUAAAGUACUACCAACACUAUUCGGUGUUAAUUUUUUAACACUUAACACCAGUGUAGAAUAUUUUUGACACUGGUCAGUGUAACUCAGUGUUAAUCUUUAACUUUGUGCAGUGUUAAAAUAACACUAGCUCAUUGUUAAAAAUAUAACACUUUGAAAAGUGUUAAUUUAACACUCAAAAGAGUGGACACAUAUAGACACUUUUCUAGUGUUAAAUUUAACACUCACAGUGUCAAUUUGACACUGGCGAUUUUGCUGUGUACGUGCAGCUGAGACAGUGCAGAAUGUUGAUGAUCAGAUAAUGGAGAAUAGAGCAAGCGACAGGAAACAUAUGCAGGGCCGUGAAAGCAGCGCUUUAAGACUGUUAAAAUGCUGUGGACUAAGAUGAGUGAUGUUUAAGACUAUAUAUGAACAAAAGUCAGAAAGUCAAAAUAUAAUUAGGUUCGUGCUUUUGAAUUAAGAGAAAAAUUGAUGAACAUAAGUUAGGGGAAGCGUAGUAGGGAGAAAGUGUUUUUUAUCCCUUACAGGAGAAGAUUUCGACAAGAGAGGGACCCAGAAAAGGACAGACCACUGGAGAUUCACAAUGAUGAUUUGCUGAGCCAGAGGAUGGCUAGAGAGGGUCAGAGAAAUGACAUAAGUGAAGUGUGAUGACCCUCUAAAGCGGGUCACCAAGAGAGGGUGUGUAGAGAUUAGAGAAAUAUUUUACUGCUAUUGUUCAUAUUACCAUGGCAUUAACAACAUAAUCAACAGUAUUGAUAUUGUAUUCAGAUGUUCAAACGUAUUGGUAUCACAGUAGCCUUUUUUACAGGUCCAGUAAGAACCACUUUAGACUGUUGAGUUGAAUGCUUUUAUAAGCUUAAAUGUUUAUAUGCAGACUGCAUUGUGAAAGAAAGUAUACUCUGUGCCAAAAUAAGACAGGAAAUUACAUGUAUGCAGGGCAAGCUUUUUGCAGAAGUGAAACCGAAAGCAGAGUCUGAGUGCAAGUUAUUUUGAGCAGGUUAUUUUGUAUUAUCUUUUAUGCAUCUAUAUCUUUUGAUUAAGCUUUUAGUAGUGGUUCUUUAUUAAAACAUUUAUUCAAUAGAUUAUAUAUACAUAGUUUCAGUUAGGUUGCUAUGCACAUGCUGCAUUUUCUUGCCUGUAUAAGUUUCAGUUUAGGACGUGCUGCUGAUGUCCCAGACGAUAAGCGGGCGUCUGCCAGCGACAGGAAGCACCUGCCGUGGAGAUGGAGACAAUGUUCUUUUAAACUGUGUUAAAAGUUAACCGAACGUUUGUGGUUUUGAGUUGACGUAUCCAUGUAUUGUAUUUGUGAACGCAAGAGGGGGCGUUAAACCCCGAUGCUAUAAGACGAUUGUCUUGUGUAUUUUUGAGCAGAGAUCUACAGCUGAUGUUGUCGCGUACAUCUCGCUGCGUGUUUCAUUAAAAUCAUCGUUUGACUCCAGGGUCAGUGUGUUAUUCCGAUUUCCUCCAUCUCUCCUUAAUUAAAAUGAACCUUAACACAUUAGAGGGACAGAUCACAUCAAAAUGUGCUGUACACAUUGUCAUUGUUUUCAUUUACUCCUGCCAUCAGCCAGAAUAAAGGCUCGCUUUUGUUUU